rnacentral:tRNA from 1 species
GCCUGGCUGGCUCAGUUAGUAGAGCACGCGACUCUUGAUCUUGGGGUCGUGAGUUUGAGCCCCAUGCUGGGUA